AAUGAACGUUGGCGGCGUGGAUUAGGCAUGCAAGUCGAGCGGCAGCAGGCCCCGCAAGGGGCGCUGGCGAGCGGCGAAAGGGAGAGUAACACGCGGGUACCUGCCCUCGGGCCCGGGAUAGCUGCGGGAAACUGCAAUUGAUACCGGAUAAUGUCCCUGGACCAAAGGUGUGAUUCCGCCUGAGGAGGGGCCCACGUCCUAUCAGCUAGUUGGUGAGGUAACGGCUCACCAAGGCUACGACGGGUACGGGGUGUGAGAGCAUGCCCCCGCUCACUGGGACUGAGACACUGCCCAGACACCUACGGGUGGCUGCAGUCGAGAAUCUUCCGCAAUGGGCGAAAGCCUGACGGAGCGACGCCGCGUGCGGGAUGAAGGCCUUCGGGUUGUAAACCGCUGUCAGAGGGGAACAAGUUCAUGGGGGUUCUCCCCUGUGUUUGAGUGAUCCUCAGAGGAAGCGCAGGCUAAGUCCGUGCCAGCCGCCGCGGUAAGAC
rnacentral:rRNA from 1 species